UGGGGAAUUUUGCACAAUGGGGGAAACCCUGAUGCAGCGACGCCGCGUGAUUUAGAAGGCCUUUGGGUUGUAAAAAUCUUUUUUACGGGAUGAAAAUGACAGAACCGUAAGAAUAAGGUCCGCCUAAAUACGUGCCAGCAGCCGCGGUAAUACGUAUGGACCGAGCGUUGUCCGGAAUCAUUGGGCGUAAAGGGUACGUAGGCGGCCUAGUAAGUUAGAAGUGAAAUAAUAUAGCUCAACUAUAUAAAGCUUUUAAAACUGCUAGGCUUGAGAGAUGGAAGGGAAAGUGGAAUUCCUAGUGUAGCGGUGAAAUGCGCAGAUAUUAGGAAGAAUACCGGUGGCGAAGGCGACUUUCUGGUCAUCAUCUGACGCUGAGGUACGAAAGCGUGGGUAGCAAACAGG
rnacentral:rRNA from 1 species